rnacentral:rRNA from 1 species
UACGGGGGGAGCAAGCGUUGUUCGGAUUUACUGGGCGUAAAGGGCUCGUAGGCGGCCAACUAAGUCGGAUGUGAAAUCCCCAGGCUUAACCUGGGAACUGCGUCCGAUACUGGCAGGCUUGAAUCCGGGAGAGGGAUGCGGAAUUCCAGGUGUAGCGGUGAAAUGCGUAGAUAUCUGGAGGAACACCGGUGGCGAAGGCGGCAUCCUGGACCGGCAUUGACGCUGAGGCGCGAAAGCCAGGGGAGCAAACGGG